rnacentral:rRNA from 1 species
GCAAACGGGAUUAGAUACCCUGGUAGUCCACGCCGUAAACGAUGAGUGCUAGCUGUAGGGAGCUAUAAGUUCUCUGUAGCGCAGCUAACGCAUUAAGCACUCCGCCUGGGGAGUACGACCGCAAGGUUGAAACUCAAAGGAAUUGACGGGGGCCCGCACAAGCGGUGGAGCAUGUGGUUUAAUUCGAAGCAACGCGAAGAACCUUACCAGGUCUUGACAUACUCGUGCUAUCCUUAGAGAUAAGGAGUUCCUUCGGGACACGGGAUACAGGUGGUGCAUGGUUGUCGUCAGCUCGUGUCGUGAGAUGUUGGGUUAAGUCCCGCAACGAGCGCAACCCUUAUUACUAGUUGCCAUCAUUAAGUUGGGCACUCUAGUGAGACUGCCGGUGAUAAACCGGAGGAAGGUGGGGAUGACGUCAAAUCAUCAUGCCCCUUAUGACCUGGGCUACACACGUGCUACAAUGGAUGGUACAACGAGUCGCCAACCCGCGAGGGUGCGCUAAUCUCUUAAAACCAUUCUCAGUUCGGAUUGCAGGCUGCAACUCGCCUGCAUGAAGUCGGAAUCGCUAGUAAUCGCGGAUCAGCACGCCGCGGUGAAUACGUUCCCGGGCCUUGUACACACCGCCCGUCACACCACGGAAGUUGGGAGUACCCAAAGUAGGUUGCCUAACCGCAAGGAGGGCGCUUCCUAAGGUAAGACCGAUGACUGGGG